UACAGAGACUGCAAGCGUUAUUCGGAUUCACUGGGCGUAAAGGGUGCGCAGGCGGCCAAGUGUGUGAGGCGUGAAAGCCCGGGGCUUAACCCCGGAAUUGCACCUCAAACUACAUGGCUAGAGCAUUGGAGAGGGUAGCAGAAUUCAUGGUGUAGCAGUGAAAUGCGUAGAUAUCAUGAGGAAUACCAGAGGCGAAGGCGGCUACCUGGACAAUUGCUGACGCUCAGGCAACGAAAGCGUGGGGAGCAAAAGGG
rnacentral:rRNA from 1 species